UCGGAGCUCGGGGUCCGGCCGAGGUUCCAGCUGCUAGCUCUUCGCGCGGUGAGGCGCGGGGCCCGGGGCCGGUGGGCGGCGGACGGGGGCCAGGAAGAGGGAGCGAGGGUAGCCGGGGAGAGGGGGGCCGGCGACAGCCGCACGGUGCGCAGGACCGACGGCCGACGCUCUUGCGAACUUGGGCAGAGUCGCGCCACUGCGCCCGCGGCCCGAGCGAUGAAGAUGGUGGCCCCCUGGACGCGGUUCUACUCCAACAGCUGCUGCCUCUGCUGCCAUGUCCGCACCGGCACCAUCCUGCUCGGCGGCUGGUACUUGAUCCUCAAUGCUGUGGUACUGCUGAUUCUGUUGAGCGCCCUGGCUGAUCCAGAUCAUUACCACUUUUCAAGUUCUGAACUCGGGGGUGACUUUGAGUUCAUGGAUGAUGCCAACAUGUGCAUUGCCAUCGCGAUUUCUGUUCUCAUGAUCCUUAUCUGUGCCAUGGCUACGUACGGAGCAUACAAGCAACGUGCAGCCUGGAUCAUCCCAUUCUUCUGCUACCAGAUCUUUGAUUUUGCCUUGAACACCUUGGUUGCGGUCACCAUACUUGUUUAUCCAAACUCCAUCCAGGAAUACAUACGACAGCUGCCUCCUGAUUUUCCUAACAAAGAUGAUAUCAUGUCAGUGAAUCCUACCUGUUUGGUCCUCAUUAUUCUUCUGUUUUAUCAGCAUUAUCUUGGCUUUUAAGGGUUACUUGAUUAGCUGUGUUUGGAACUGCUACCGAUAUAUCAAUGGCAGGAACUCCUCUGAUGUCCUGGUUUAUGUUACCAGCAAUGACACUAUGGUGCUGUUACCCCCGGUGCUGUUACCCCCCUAGGAUGACGCCACUGUGAAUAGCGCCACCAAGGAGCCGCCGCCCCCGUACGUGUCUGCCUGAGCCUGAAAGUCGGGCGAGCAAGAGCGACAGCCAGACUUUUCAUUCAUCAGAGCAAUAGUUCUUUAAUUUUUCUUCUGAGAUGAGCUCUCUGAGCUUAUUUGUUGCAGAAAUGCUACAGUUUAAAAGUUUAGAUGUUAAGUUGAAACUCUAGUUUGAAACCUAUGCUUUAGCUGGAGCACCGUGAUAGAGUAGCUGUAGAAAUUCUCUCUGUGG